rnacentral:rRNA from 1 species
UACGUAGGUGGCAAGCGUUGUCCGGAUUUACUGGGCGUAAAGCGCGCGCAGGCGGUCGUUCAAGUCGCGUGUGAAAGCCCCCGGCUCAACUGGGGAGGGUCACGCGAUAGUGAUCGACUCGAAGGCAGGAGAGGGAAGUGGAAUUCCCGGUGUAGUGGUGAAAUGCGUAGAUAUCGGGAGGAACACCAGUGGCGAAGGCGACUUCCUGGCCUGUUCUUGACGCUGAGGCGCGAAAGCUAGGGGAGCAAACGGG